GGAAGUAAAAGUCGUAACAAGGUUUCCGUAGGUGAACCUGCGGAAGGAUCAUUAACGAGUUUUGAAAGGGGUUGUCGCUGGCCUUUCACGAGGCAUGUGCACACCCUGCUCAUCCACUCUCAACCUCUGUGCACUUAUUGUAGGUCGGUGGAAGGCUCGCAAGAGCUGGAAGCCUGCUUAUGUUUUACUACAAACGCUUCAGUUAUAGAAUGUUUACUUGCGUAUAACGCAUUUAUAUACAACUUUCAGCAACGGAUCUCUUGGCUCUCGCAUCGAUGAAGAACGCAGCGAAAUGCGAUAAGUAAUGUGAAUUGCAGAAUUCAGUGAAUCAUCGAAUCUUUGAACGCACCUUGCGCUCCCUGGUAUUCCGGGGAGCACGCCCGUUUGAGUGUCAUGGUAUUCUCAACCUUCCUCACUUUUGUGACUGGAAGGCUUGGAUGUGGAGGUCGUGCGGGCUCUCGCGAGUCGGCUCCUCUGAAAUGCAUUAGCGUGAACGUUUACGGAUCGCUAUCAGUGUGAUAAUUAUCUGCGCUGUUAGUGUUGAAGUAUUGCUUAGUGUCGCGCUUCUAACCGUCCUUCAGUUGGACAACUUAUCUGACAUCUGGCCUCAAAUCGGGCGGGACUACCCGCUGAACUUAAGCAUAUC
rnacentral:rRNA from 1 species